AAUGGCUUGAAGGAACUUUACCGUUGCGGACGCGCUGGAUUUUAUUUUCGCGACCGGCAGUGAAGAAGAUGGCUCAUUAGAACCUGUAGGCUUCGACUCUUCUGAGGAAGAAGAAUACAGGGACAGCAGGGAUCCAUUUGAGGAUGGGCCCCUCCUUCUCAACCUAAGCCCCUCCUGGCACGUGACUAACGGCCCCUCCUUCUCAACCUUUGAGGCACGUGACAUCCUGUUUCCGUGGUAGCAGUUCUGUCACGAUGGAGAAACACAUCACACCAUGAUGGGAGCCCAAAAGUAUAUAUUUGUAAUUCUCGCAGUUAUCACUGCCCGUUCUGCCAAUACCAGGGUCAGAGGCUUCAGGUGGAAUACCAUGCCAAAAGCCAUUCUUCUGUGAGGCACAGAGAGUUCACAAUUGUUAAGUGUGGCUUAAGCUGCAGAACAGCAAGCCAUUUUCAUUGUCUUUAUUGCUCACAGACCAUAAUUAAUAGGGGCCAUUUUUUACGGCAUGUCUAUUCACAUGAGCCAAAUGCUGUGACUGUAGGGCGACUAACAGCACCUGCCCAGCUCACCCCACCAUCUCACCUGCUCACUGCAGCACCUGCCCAGCUCCCCCCACCAUCUCACCUGCUCACUGCAG